rnacentral:rRNA from 1 species
UACAGAGGGUGCGAGCGUUAAUCGGAAUUACUGGGCGUAAAGCGUGCGUAGACGGCUAUCUAAGUCGGGUGUGAAAGCCCCGGGCUCAACCUGGGAAUUGCAUUCGAGACUGAAUAGCUAGGGUACGGUAGAGGGAAGUGGAAUUCCGGUGUAGCUGGUGAAAUGCGUAGAUAUCGGAAGGAACAUCAGUGGCGAAAGCGACUUCCUGGACCAGUACCGACGUUCAGGCACGAAAGCGUGGG